GGGAAUGUCAGAGGAUGAGAUGGUUGAAUGGCAUCACCGACUCAAUGGACAUGAGUUUGAGUUCUUUUUCACUCCACGAAGACAAAGGAAUGUACCCAAGGACAUAGGACCCUGUACUGGAGCCAAGGUUGGAACACAGAUAUUUCUGGCUCCAAUUCUCUGCUGAGUCCAUUAGACUAUGUCUCCUCUUAGUUCUAUUAUUUGAUUUUCUGUUCUCUGUGUGUUUACAUACUCAAAGUGAUAAAAUAUAUUUUUGUUCUUAUGUUACUAAUGCAGUAGAGGUAUUUUUCAAUUUUGCUGAACUACAAUUCGCAAAAUAUGGCAAAUAACUGCUUUCAACAAAAUGUUUUCAAGGCAUGCCUUGAAAUGGGAGUUAAAAAUAGGAAUGCAAA